GAUGUAUAUGAUCAAAGAUCGAUUUUGAAUCGAAUCUUGAGCCUCAAAGUUGAUAUUGAAUCGAAUGGUGACAAUUUCUGAGUCAUUCAUUAUUUGCUG